rnacentral:rRNA from 1 species
GAUGAACGCUGGCGGCGUGCCUAAUACAUGCAAGUCGAGCGAACAGAUGAGAAGCUUGCUUCUCUGAUGUUAGCGGCGGACGGGUGAGUAACACGUGGGCAAUCUGCCCGAUACUCUGGGAUAACGCUUGGAAACGAGUGCUAAUACCGGAUGGUCUUCUUGGCCGCAUGGCCGAGAAGGAAAAGACGCGUUCGCGUCGGUGUCGGAUGAGCCCGCGGCGCAUUAGCUAGUUGGUGAGGUAACGGCCCACCAAGGCGACGAUGCGUAGCCGACCUGAGAGGGUGACCGGCCACACUGGGACUGAGACACGGCCCAGACUCCUACGGGAGGCAGCAGUAGGGAAUCUUCCACAAUGGGCGAAAGCCUGAUGGAGCAACGCCGCGUGAGUGAUGAAGGCCUUCGGGUUGUAAAACUCUGUCAUUCGGGACGAACCGGAGUCUGAGGAAAUGCAGACUCUCUGACGGUACCGGAGGAGGAAGCCCCGGCUAACUACGUGCCAGCCGCCGCAGUAAUAC